AACCGUCGACAGUCAGGCAACGAGCGAGACCCACGCCGACAAUUGCCAGCAGCAUCUCCGGAUGGCUGGGGACAUUGUCGGGACCGCCUCUGCUAAAGGGGAGGAAGGAAUGGGCAACGGUAGGUCAGCAUGCCCCGAAUUAUCCGGGCUACACGCGGGCUACAAUGGACGGGACAAUGGGUAACAACACCGAAAGGUGCAGUCAAUCUCCGAACCCCGCCCUUAGUUAGGAUUGCGGGUUGCAACUCACCCGCAUGAAUCUGGAAUCUGUAGUAAUCGCGUUUCACUAUAGCGCGGUGAAUACGUCCCUGCUCCUUGCACGAAUUCGCCG
rnacentral:rRNA from 1 species